rnacentral:rRNA from 1 species
AGUGAACGCUGGCGGUAGGCCUAACACAUGCAAGUCGAACGGCAGCACAGUAAGAGCUUGCCCUUACGGGUGGCGAGUGGCGGACGGGUGAGGAAUACAUCGGAAUCUACUUUUUCGUGGGGGAUAACGUAGGGAAACUUACGCUAGUACCGCAUACGACCUACGGGUGAAAGCAGGGGAUCUUCGGACCUUGCGCGAUUGAAUGAGCCGAUGUCGGAUUAGCUAGUUGGCGGGGUAAAGGCCCACCAAGGCGACGAUCCGUAGCUGGUCUGAGAGGAUGAUCAGCCACACUGGAACUGAGACACGGUCCAGACUCCUACGGGAGGCAGCAGUGGGGAAUAUUGGACAAUGGGCGCAAGCCUGAUCCAGCCAUACCGCGUGGGUGAAGAAGGCCUUCGGGUUGUAAAGCCCUUUUGUUGGGAAAGAAAAGCAGCAGGUUAAUACCCCGCUGUUCUGACGGUACCCAAAGAAUAAGCACCGGCUAACUUCGUG